CCUACGGGGGGCUGCAGUAAGGAAUAUUGGUCAAUGGACGAAAGUCUGAACCAGCCAUCCCGCGUGCAGGAUGAAAGCCCUAUGGGUUGUAAACUGCUUUUAGCAGAGAAGAAAAGCUUUCAUUAAUGAGAGUCUGACGGUAUCUGCAGAAUAAGCACCGGCUAACUCCGUGCCCGCAGCCGCGGUAAUACGGAGGGUGCGGGAGUUAUCGGGAUGAAAUGGGGCGAAGGCGUGGGAAGGAGUCAGAUUAGAAAGCUUGUCGCUUAACGAUAAAAUUGCCAAUGAUACUGGUACUCUUGAAUUGGGUUGAGGUUAGCGGAAUGUGACAUGUAGCGGUGAAAUGCAUAGAUAUGUCAUGGAACACCAAUUGCGAAGGCAGCUAACUGGGCCUUGAUUGACGCUGAGGCACGAAAGCGUGGGUAGCGAACAGGAUUAGAUACCCCAGUAGUC
rnacentral:rRNA from 1 species